GAACAAUUAACAGAGGUACAAUCCCAAUCUGGUUUUCUUUCUUAUUUGCACACACACACACACACACACACACUAACUAUACUGUAUCCUAACAGAAUUACAAAAGGCCAUGAAGGCUGAGACUUCAUCAUUCCUUAUAAAUUCCAUAUAAAAGACCUCCAGUCCCAGGCCCCACUCAGUACCAAAGCCUCAAACCUAAAUUAAGACAAAACCGUUGGAUUUGUUUUACUUUUAGUCCAAUUGGAAAAUUUUGUUUGUUGCUGUGGAUAGAAUUGCUGUUUGUUUUUUUGUUUUUUUUUUUGUUACGUUUUUGAGUUUGUUGGGUGUGGUUUUGAGCAUGUGGAAUCACCGGUCAUUCCCCGUGUUGUGAUUGAGUUUCUACAGAAAAUUGUGCUCCCAGUUUGACGUCCAAACGGGUUCAUUUGAAAGUGUGCUGUCCUUUUUUUUUUCUUCUUUUUUUUUAGGAAUGAACGUAAGAAUAGCAAAAGUCACGCAUAUCAGUUCGCUUGUCAAGUUAUUCUAAUUAUUAAUCAUUUUUGGCCCCUUUCCCCAGAUUUUAAAAUUUUCGUUUAGCGAAAUUGGUUGGCAAGCCUCUGGAGGUUGCUCCAUUUUAGAUUCUUAGUCUUUCUUAGUUUUUUUUGUACUAUUGUUUUUUUAAGACAUGCAGAAUAAAAGGAAAAAGGGAUGUCUCUCACCACAUGGAGAAGAGUGUAUAAAUGUUUAAAAGUCAAUAGAUGUGCAUUUAAAAAUGCAUGUAAUAUAUAUACAUGUCUAAUUAACAUAUACAAUAAUAAGGAUUCAGCUUCUUGGAUUCCUACCUGUGCUUUAGUGAGAGAGGUGCAUGUUGUUGACCGGAGGGUUAUUUGUAUGCGCUGUCUGACUUGAACCCGUCCUACAGUUUCAGUACUUGGAGGUACCAAAUGGGGCUAAAGGUUUCACAUGUUAAGCCCACGACCCCUCCUCAUUGUAUUAACUUUCAUUCACUGCAUACGAUGUGCAACAUGCACUCGCUAGAAAAGGCAUGUGAUUCAGUGUGAGCACUGGUAUACCCCAGACCUCUCCAUCAACAUCACAUAGUCUCUUAUGUCAUGGUAGGUGAUAUUUUCAUCUUUACUUUAUGGAGGAACAUGAUGUUUUUAAGCAUGUUAAAUGUUUGUUUGUUUUUCUCUCACUGAUGCUAAGGUUAGGGAUUUGUCUGCUCGUGUAUACAGAUAAUCCUUCUGUAAGGCAUUAUUUAUAUUUUCCACACUUAAGUUAUUUCAAAAUACAACUUAUUUAUUUUGUAUUAUUUAUAACGUUAUUUACUUUAAAGAUAAUGUUCUUCCUAGAUUAUGCAUUGCAAUCUUACUUUUUUUUUAAAGAGAUGUUCAAUAGUAUUCAAUUGCUUAAACUCUCCCAGCUUUUAAACGAAAAUGUAUUUGUGUUUACAGUGAAUUAUAAAGCUUAAGAUGCUUCCUCACAUUAAAACAUUCCAGUCCUAGAAUCUCUUAUCAUGACAACGCAGCUUUGGUGGGAAGUUUGUUUGUCUUUUGAUAUCAUAGUUAUGUAACCUUAAAGACUUGGUAGUGUAGAACGCAGACUGUUCUCACAGAGCAAUAGCCGUUAUUUCUCUCCACGCCCAAAUAUGAGCAACAUACAACCCCGCUGAAGGUUUGUAACGCACCUACUGUACGUGGGUGUGCGAUUGUACAGUUCCUAUAAAGGCAGUCUUAAAUAAACGUUCUUUCCAAAGAGAUUUCAACAAUAUAUUUAGAGCCAAAAAGAGCGCUUGUUAGACGACUUGCACUGACAAACUUGUGUGCGGUAGUGUUUUCCUACUCUGUGCAGCAGCUCCAAAAAGGGAAAAUGUUUGGGAAGUACACUGAUUACUCUGAACACUUACUGCCGUGGUUCACUUUUGACUUGUUUAUUUAUUGUGUUUUGCUACAGCUGUAAACUUGCUGGUGACUUACAGUAGGAACACCUAUUGAUCCUGUUCAACUCUCCUCUAAUUCUUCUUCCCUCCCCAUCAUAAAUCACUCUUGUAAAUAGAAAUUCCCUGCCCAUCGGGUAUUAGUUGUGUGAAUUGUGCUGUAAUUCUGUAAUGCCAGAUUUGCUAAAAUGAGGAAUCAAUAAACAAAUUCUAACAGCUGGA